UACAGAGGUCUCGAGCGUUAGGCGGAAUCACUGGGCUUAAAGCGUGUGUAGGUGGAUGCCUAAGUACCUUGUGAAAUCCCACGGCUUAACCGUGGAACUGCUUGGUAUACUGGUUGUCUUGGGCCAUCUAGGGGCUACUGGAACAAACGGUGGAGCGGUGAAAUGCGUAGAUAUCGUUUGGAACGCCAAUGGUGAAAACAAGUAGCUGGGGAUGUGCCGACGCUGAGACACGAAAGCCAGGGGAGCGAACGGG
rnacentral:rRNA from 1 species